rnacentral:rRNA from 1 species
UACGGAGGAUCCGAGCGUUAUCCGGAUUUACUGGGUGUAAAGGGCGUGUAGGCGGGAAAGCAAGUCAGAUGUGAAAACCAUGGGCUCAACCUGUGGCCUGCAUUUGAAACUGUUUUUCUUGAGUACUGGAGAGGCAGACGGAAUCCCUAGUGUAGCGGUGAAAUGCGUAGAUAUACGGAGGAACACCAGUGGCGAAGGCGGAUUGCUGGACAGUAACUGACGCUGAGGCGCGAAAGCGUGGGGAGCAAACAGG